AUUGAACGCUGGCGGCAUGCCUUACACAUGCAAGUCGAGCGGCAGCGCGGGGGCAACCCUGGCGGCGAGCGGCGGACGGGUGAGUAAUACAUCGGAACGUGUCCUUUCGUGGGGGAUAACCAGUCGAAAGACUGGCUAAUACCGCAUGAGAUCUCACGAUGAAAGCGGGGGACCGCAAGGCCUCGCGCGAUUGGAGCGGCCGAUGUCGGAUUAGCUAGUUGGCGGGGUAAAAGCCCACCAAGGCGACGAUCCGUAGCUGGUUUGAGAGAACGACCAGCCACACUGGGACUGGGACACGGCCCAGACUCCUACGGGAGGCAGCAGUGGGGAAUUUUGGACAAUGGGGGCAACCCUGAUCCAGCCAUGCCGCGUGUGUGAAGAAGGCCUUCGGGUUGUAAAGCACUUUCGGCCGGAACGAAAUCGCGCGGAUUAAUAACCCGCGUGGAUGACGGUACCGGAAGAAGAAGCACCGGCUAACUACGUGCCAGCAGCCGCCGUAA
rnacentral:rRNA from 1 species